rnacentral:rRNA from 1 species
GACGAACGCUGGCGGCGUGCUUAACACAUGCAAGUCAAACGGAAAGGCCCUGCUUUUGUGGGGUGCUCGAGUGGCGAACGGGUGAGUAACACGUGAGUAACCUGCCCUUGACUUUGGGAUAACUUCAGGAAACUGGGGCUAAUACCGGAUAGGAGCUCCUGCUGCAUGGUGGGGGUUGGAAAGUUUCGGCGGUUGGGGAUGGACUCGCGGCUUAUCAGCUUGUUGGUGGGGUAGUGGCUUACCAAGGCUUUGACGGGUAGCCGGCCUGAGAGGGUGACCGGCCACAUUGGGACUGAGAUACGGCCCAGACUCCUACGGGAGGCAGCAGUGGGGAAUAUUGCACAAUGGGAGGAAGCCUGAUGCAGCAACGCCGCGUGCGGGAUGACGGCCUUCGGGUUGUAAACCGCUUUCGCCUGUGACGAAGCGUGAGUGACGGUAAUGGGUAAAGAAGCACCGGCUAACUACGUG